CCUACGGGAGGCAGCAGUGGGGAAUAUUGGACAAUGGGCGCAAGCCUGAUCCAGCAAUGCCGCGUGAGUGAUGAAGGCCUUAGGGUCGUAAAGGUCUUUUACCAGGGAUGAUAAUGACAGUACCUGGAGAAUAAGCUCCGGCUAACUCCGUGCCAGCAGCCGCGGUAAUACGGAGGGAGCUAGCGUUGUUCGGAAUUACUGGGCGUAAAGCGUACGUAGGCGGUUAUUCAAGUCAGAGGUGAAAGCCCGGGGCUCAACCCCGGAACUGCCUUUGAAACUAGAUAACUAGAGUCUUGGAGAGGAUAGUGGAAUUCCGAGUGUAGAGGUGAAAUUCGUAGAUAUUCGGAAGAACACCAGUGGCGAAGGCGACUAACUGGACAAGUACUGACGCUGAGGUACGAAAGCGUGGGGAGCAAACAGGAUUAGAUACCCUGGUAGUC
rnacentral:rRNA from 1 species